AUGGCAGGUCUGGUACACGGCAGUGGGGCCAGGGCUAUGGAUCUGCUGUGGGCCCUGCCUCGUGUAAUCCUGGCCAAUUUGAAGCCAAAUCCCGGCUCCAGGAAACCGAAGAGAUGACCAAGAGGUCAGAGAAGAGGUAGAAAGUUGGCAGAGGCCAUAAAGGAGAAAGGCAGAGAGGAACCCGGCCCCACCUGGCUUUGAGGGAGGCCAGACUCCAUUUUACAUCUGAAUACCAAAGUAUAGGUUUAAUGAAGGACAUAGCUUCAGAUGCCAGUAUCAGCCUCUGACUCUCAACAGACUGCAGUAUCUUAUUGACUUGGGUCGAGUUGAUCCUACUCAACCUAUUGACUUAACCCAGCUUGUCAAUGGGAGAGGUAUGACCACUCAGCCUCUUAAAAGGGAUUAUGGUGUCCAGCUGAUGGAGGAAGGUGCUGACACCUUUAAGACAAAAGUUAAUAUUGAAGUACAGUUGGCUUCAGAACUAGCUAUUGCUGCAAUUGAAAAAAAAGGUGGUGUUGUUACUACAGCCUUCUAUGAUCCCAGGAGUCUGGAAAUUCUAUGCAAACCUAUUCCAUUCUUUCUUCGUGGACAGCCUAUUCCAAAACGAAUGCUUCCACCUGAAGCGCUGGUACCCUAUUACACUGAUGCAAAGAAUCGUGGUUACCUGGAAAACCCUGCCAAAUUUCCUGAAGCAAGGCUUGAACUUGCUAAGAAGUAUGGUUAUAUUUUACCUGACAUCACUAAAGAUGAACUCUUCAAGAUGCUCAAUGCUCGAAAGGAUGCAAAGCAGAUUUUCUUUGGUCUUGCUCCAGGAUGGUGAACAUGGCAGAUAAGAAAAUACUAAAACCCACAGAUGAGAAUCUCAUCAAGUAUUACAGCUCCUGA